rnacentral:lncRNA from 1 species
CACGGGUUGUGCGUUUGCACAGGGUGUGUGCUUGCACAGGGUGUGUGUUUGCAUGGGGGUGUGCGUUUGCACAGGGUCUCUGCUUGCACAGGGUGUUUGCUUGCACAGGGUGUGUGUUUGCACAGGGUGUGUGUUUGCAUGGGGGUGUGCGUUUGCACAGGGUGUGUGUUUGCACAGGAGUGUGCGCUUGCACAGGGUGUGUGUUUGCAUGGGGGUGUGCGUUUGCACAGGGUGUGUGUUUGCACAGGAGUGUGCGCUUGCACAGGGCGCAUCUUUGCAGCGGGGUGCACGCCUGCAGGGAGGGUGCGCGUUUGCACGGGGUGGGGGGGGGCGUCACGCCUUCGCACGCGAGUGUGCAUUUGCACAAGCGGCGAGCUCC